CGCGUAGGCGGGUUCUCAAGUCAGGGGUGAAAUCCUCCAGCUUAACUGGAGAAGUGCCUUUGAUACUGGGAAUCUCGAGGGAGGUAGGGGCGUGCGGAACUUCGGGUGGAGCGGUGAAAUGCGUAGAUAUCCGAAGGAACACCGGUGGCGAAAGCGGCGCGCUGGACCUCUUCUGACGCUGAGGCGCGAAAGCCAGGGGAGCAAACG
rnacentral:rRNA from 1 species